rnacentral:rRNA from 1 species
GACGAACGCGGCGGCGUGCCUAAUACAUGCAAGUAGAACGCUGAAGGAGGAGCUUGCUUCUCUGGAUGAGUUGCGAACGGGUGAGUAACGCGUAGGUAACCUGCCUGGUAGCGGGGGAUAACUAUUGGAAACGAUAGCUAAUACCGCAUAAGAGUAGAUGUUGCAUGACAUUUGCUUAAAAGGUGCAAUUGCAUCACUACCAGAUGGACCUGCGUUGUAUUAGCUAGUUGGUGAGGUAACGGCUCACCAAGGCAACGAUACAUAGCCGACCUGAGAGGGUGAUCGGCCACACUGGGACUGAGACACGGCCCAGACUCCUACGGGAGGCAGCAGUAGGGAAUCUUCGGCAAUGGACGGAAGUCUGACCGAGCAACGCCGCGUGAGUGAAGAAGGUUUUCGGAUCGUAAAGCUCUGUUGUAAGAGAAGAACGAGUGUGAGAGUGGAAAGUUCACAACUGUGACGGUAUCUUACC